rnacentral:rRNA from 1 species
UGAGGAAUAUUGGGUCAAUGGGCGGAAGCCUGAACCAGCCAUGCCGCGUGCAGGAUGACGGCCCUAUGGGUUGUAAACUGCUUUUGCUGUGGAGCAAUAAGGGUCACGCGCUGACCCGAUGAGAGUACACAGCGAAUAAGCAUCGGCUGACUCCGUGCCAGCAGCCGCGGUAAUACGGAGGAUGCGAGCGUUAUCCGGAUUUAUUGGGUUUAAAGGGUGCGUAGGCUGUGCGGUAAGUCAGAGGUGAAAGGUCCGCGCUCAACGCGGGAACUGCCUUUGAUACUGCCGUGCUGGAGUGCGGAUGCCGUUGGAGGAAUGAGUGGUGUAGCGGUGAAUGCAUAGAUAUCACUCAGAACACCGAUUGCGAAGGCAUCUGACGAAUCCGUAACUGACGCUGAGGCACGAAAGCGUGGGGAUAGAACA